GGAGGCUGCAGCAACGGAUAUUGGGCAAUGAGCGAAAGCUUGACCCAGCAAUGCCGCGUGCAGGAGGAAGCCCCUCGGGGUGUAAACUGCUGUCAGGGUAUAAGAAGUUCUGACCAAACCCAAAGGAAGGGCCGGCUAACUUCGUGCCAGCAGCCGCGGUAAUACGAAGGGCCCACGCGUUAAUCGGAAUCACUGGGCUUAUAGGGUGCGCAGGCGGAAUGGUCAGUGUCUUGUGAUAUCCCACGGCUCAUCCGUGGAACUGCACGGCAUACUGCCAUUCUUGAGGCCGGUAGAGGCCGCCGGAACUCUAGGUGUAGCGGUGAAAUGCGUAGAUAUCUAGAGGAACGCCAAAGACGAAGGUAGGCGGCUGGGCCGGUUCUGACGCUCAGGCACGAAAGCGUGGGGAGCAAACAGGAUUAGAUACCCUGGUAGUCCACGCCGUAAACGUUGUGCACUAGGUGCUGGAGGUUCUGACACCAUCAGCGCCGAAGCGAAAGUGAUUAGUGCACCGCCUGGGGAGUACGGUCGCAAGGCUAAAACUCAAAGGAAUUGACGGGGGCUCACACAAGCGGUGGAGCAUGUGGCUUAAUUCGAGGCAACGCGAAGAACCUUAUCCUGGGCUUGACAUGCAUGGAUUAACGCUGGGAAACCAGCGCCACACUCUUUGAGUGGAACAUGCACAGGUGCUGCAUGGCUGUCGUCAGCUCGUGCUGUGAAGUGUUGGGUUAAGUCCCUUAACGAGCGAAACCCCUGUCGCUAGUUACCAUCAGGUAAUGCUGGGGACUCUAGCGAGACUGCCGGUGUCAAACCGGAGGAAGGCGGGGAUGACGUCAAGUCCUCAUGGCCUUUAUGCCCAGGGCUGCACACGUGCUACAAUGGCGCCGACAGAGCGAAGCAAAACCGCGAGGUAGAGCAAAUUGCAAAAAAGGUGCCCCAGUUCGGAUUGCAGUCUGCAACUCGACUGCAUGAAGCCGGAAUCGCUAGUAAUCGCGUAUCAGCAACGACGCGGUGAUACGUUCCUGAGCCUUGUACACACCGCCCGUCAAGUCAUGGAAGCCGGGAGUACCCGAAGUCGCACCGAUUC
rnacentral:rRNA from 1 species